CCUGAGUAUGCAGUCACCCAUCUUGACCUAGAUAUUUCAUUACUAUGAAAAAAGACAAAAUUCCCUAACAUGAAAUAUAAGAAGCUGAAGAAUCCGAUCCCUUCCAAGCUUUCCACUCUCGCCAAUCUCCCUGUUCAACUCAUUGUGGUCUCCUUUAAAUAGCUUCGUCGUUGAGAUAAGAUUCUAACGUAUUCAGAGUCUUUGCAUACGAUGUUACCUCUGCUUGGAAAAUACUUGGUCUUUUGUUUUAUAACCAGGUCAAAUAGAAGAUAAUCAGAUAACACGUCCUAAUGCACAAAAGUAGAUGAAGUUGUUAAUUCACCGUAGUGGAUGCUGAGGAAUGCAGCAUAGAUCCCCCAAUGGGACCAAUGCGCUAGGCUAGUUCCCCCAGCAGCAGAAGUGUUGCCUG
rnacentral:lncRNA from 1 species